UACAGAGGGUGCGAGCGUUGUUCGGAAUUACUGGGCGUAAAGCGCGUGUAGGCGGCUGGGUAAGUCGGAUGUGAAAGCCCUCGGCUCAACCGAGGAAGUGCAUCCGAUACUGCCUAGCUUGAGUCCCGGAGGGGGUGGCGGAAUUCCCGGUGUAGAGGUGAAAUUCGUAGAUAUCGGGAGGAACACCUGUGGCGAAGGCGGCCACCUGGACGGGUACUGACGCUGAGACGCGAAAGCGUGGGGAGCAAACAGG
rnacentral:misc_RNA from 1 species